AGUGUGUCUGAGACUCACAGUACCACAACGCAGGCCUGCUCAGUGUGUCUGAGACUCACAGUACCACAACGCAGGCCUGCUCAGUGUGUUUGAGACUCACAGUACCACAACGCAGGCCUGCUCAGUGUGUCUGAGACUCACGGUACCACAACGCAGGCCUGCUCAGUGUGUCUGAGACUCACAGUACCACAACGCAGGCCUGCUCAGUGUGUCUGAGACUCACAGUACCACACCGCAGGCCUGCUUGAUUAGUGCGUCAGAGACUCAGAAGAACCCCAGUAAACAUGGCCAGCACAGUCCACAGACCACAGCAGAACAGCUGAGACUGAGAGCUUCAUCAAUCAGCAGGUGAAUGGCAAUAUCCUGGACGCUACACACAGGCAUGAAAACACACACACACCCAGGCUGCUGAUGCAUUCAACCUGCUUUGCCUCUAUCUCUUGGGCAAAUAGCUGAGAGGGAAGAGAGAGGGAGAGAGAGAGAGAGAGCAGCUCAGCUGGAGUUCCCCUUAAUUACCUCCCCCAUGCCCACCACUGAUUAGCAGCACAACGCCAAGACUCAGGUGUGCUGGGCUGUCUCAGUGGCACUGUAAGAACAACAGCCUAUAUAAUAUAUAAAAACACAAACAACCGUGGACUAUAUCUGGGAGCUGGCUGACUUCCAGGCCACCUGACACCUCAUCACUAGGUAACACUUUCUCUUAGUGGAAACGCCACACCUACCAGCCAGGGCUCAGAGAGAGGCUGAGGAGAGGAACACUGACUGUCUGUCAUACUGUGACCUCAGACAGAAGAGCCAUGCUAGACACCUACUGGUGUUACCCCGGGGGAGUAUUGGAUGGGUGUGUGUGUGUUUGGGAGUGGUGUGUGGAAGGGAGAGUUUAUGUGUGUGUGUUGGGUGGGUGGGGGCUGGUUAUUGAGUGUGAGGGCUCAGCUGGGGCUGGGGGAUGAUGAGGAGGGGAAGUGGGUCAUUGUGGUGGAUGAGUGUGGGACUGAGAGAGGUAGAGAGGGUGAGGGGGAGGUGUGGAGAGAAGGCGAGAGUCCUGUUGGAUCAUUACAGAGUCCCCAGCUGAGGCAGGGAGAGGGAAAUGAAGGCUGCGUGAGAAGUGUGGGCAUGUAUUGGGCAGCGUGAGAGGAUGUAUUGGGCAGAGUGAGAGGUGUGGGGAUGUAUUGGGCAGUGUGAGAGGUGUGGGGAUGUAUUGGGCAGCGUGAGAGGUGUGGGGAUGUAUUGGGCAGCGUGAGAGGUGUGGGGAUGUAUUGGGCAGCGUGAGAGGUGUGGGGAUGUAUUGGGCAGAGUGAGAGGUGUGGGGAUGUAUUGGGCAGAGUGAGAGGUGUGGGGAUGUAUUGGGCAGCGUGAGAGGUGUGGGGAUGUAUUGGGCAGAGUGAGAGGUGUGGGGAUGUAUUGGGCAGAGUGAGAGGUGUGGGGAUGUAUUGGGCAGAGUGAGAGGUGUGGGGAUGUAUUGGGCAGAGUGAGAGGUGUGGGGAUGUAUUGGGCAGCGUGAGAGGUGUGGGGAUGUAUUGGGCAGCGUGAGAGGUGUGGGGAUGUAUUGGGCAGCGUGAGAGGUGUGGGGAUGUAUUGGGCAGCGUGAGAGGUGUGGGGAUGUAUUGGGCAGCGUGAGAGGUGUGGGGAUGUAUUGGGCAGCGUGAGAGGUGUGGGGAUGUAUUGGGCAGAGUGAGAGGUGUGGGGAUGUAUUGGGCAGAGUGAGAGGUGUGGGGAUGUAUUGGGCAGCGUGAGAGGUGUGGGGAUGUAUUGGGCAGCGUGAGAGGUGUGGGGAUGUAUUGGGCAGCGUGAGAGGUGUGGGGAUGUAUUGGGCAGCGUGAGAGGUGUGGGGAUGUAUUGGGCAGCGUGAGAGGUGUGGGGAUGUAUUGGGCAGCGUGAGAGGUGUGGGGAUGUAUUGGGCUGUGUGAGAGGUGUGGGGAUGUAUUGGGCUGUGUGAGAGUGGUGGGGAUGUAUUAGGAUUUGUGGGGGGGUUAAGCAGGUGCUGGAGAACGGGGCCUGGCCCAAGGCUGGUGGGUGGUGACUGGUGGAGGACAAGUGGAAGGUGCAGCAGAUGACACAUCCACAAGGUCACUCAGCCUCUCUGUCUCUCUCUCUGACUGCCUUCAUUAGAGAUACAGCAUCAGGAGAAGAGAACUACGACAUGACCUUCUAUUCAGUCUCACUUUUACCAGACGAUAUAGUCACCUCUACCUUCUAUGACUCAGAUCAUAUCAGUGUACAUGAUCAUAUGCAUAGUACACACUUGCCAUCGUAUAUGGUAUCAAGGUAAGGAAAUACUAGAUAAAGACUUGAGCAUAAAUCAAAACCAGUUUAGUUACAGUCUCUCAUCUCCUCUCUAUCACUCGCGCACUUAAUCAUCUCAACCUCCCAAAAUGCAUUUAUCUUUCCUCUCAACUCUUCAUCUCUCUAUCCAUCCUGCAUCUUUCAGCACGCUCCUCUUUCAGUACUGCGACUCCUCCAUCCCCUCCAU